UGGGGAAUUUUCCGCAAUGGGCGAAAGCCUGACGGAGCAAGACCGCGUGGGGGAAGAAGGUUUGUGGAUUGUAAACCCCUUUUGAUUGGGAAGAUGAUGACGGUACCAAUCGAAUCAGCCUCGGCUAACUCCGUGCCAGCAGCCGCGGUAAUACGGAGGAGGCAAGCGUUAUCCGGAAUUAUUGGGCGUAAAGCGUCCGUAGGUGGAUAUUCGUGUCAGUUGUUAAAGGAUGCGGCUUAACCGCAUAAAGGCGAUUGAAACUGGAUGUCUAGAGUGCGAUAGGGGCAAGGGGAAUUCCCAGUGUAGCGGUGAAAUGCGUAGAUAUUGGGAAGAACACCGGUGGCGAAAGCGCCUUGCUGGGUCUGCACUGACACUGAGGGACGAAAGCUAGGGGAGCGAAAGGGAUUAGAUACCCCUGUAGUCCUAGCUGUAAACGAUGGGUACUAGGCGUUGUCCGUAUCGACCCGGGCAGUGCCGUAGCUAACGCGUUAACGUACCCCGCCUGGGGAGUACGCUCGCAAG
rnacentral:rRNA from 1 species